GGAAUAUUAAGAAUGUGCAAAUGGAACUGGGAAAAGAUGGAAGUUAUACCUCCUUUAAUAUAUUGUGUUAAUGAAGCUGGAGGCCUGGCACUUCAUUUCUGUAACUGUUUAAACUCAACAAGUAACAGCUCCUCCUGUAAAGUUCUUUUGAUUCUCCCAAUGAAGACAAUGGAGUAGCUCAUAAUCUUCCUGGAGAAUGAAUACUUUAGAGAAAAUUAAGGUUAGGUUUUUAGAUGACAGCAUGAAUUAUUGUACUGUUAUUGAGAUGUAUAUGCUUUACUAAAAUUAAGCAGUGUAUUUAUAAAAAUAGUUGCUGCUCAAGAAAAAAAAAGAAAAUAUCAGUAUGCUUUUGAGCAAUUUACUGAAAAAUGCAAGGAACAUUAGAACAUAGAAGGGAAGGGUGCAGAGAAAAUGUGGGUCAUUCUACUACCAUUUUAAUGUGUAAGUCUUUAAAUGUGGAUGAAACUAUGAAAUUGAGCUGAUAGAGAUUUUCAUGGGGAGAAAAAAAAAAAAAGGAAUGUUUGGAUUGAUGUGAGAUAAACUUAAAUACUACUUAAAAUCAUGUGGAAGUAAAAGAGACCUGGAAAAAUAACCUAAGAAUUAGGGUUUGAUUUUUUAAAUUAAAUUUUGUCAGCUGUUGGCCCAAAGAUUGGAGGAUAUGCAUAGGAAAUAAA
rnacentral:lncRNA from 1 species